ACUGCUUCUCAGCCUUUCAGCUAAGAUAUUUGUUCUUAUUAGUUUCAUAUUUGAUACAUCAUCUAAGAAAAAUAUAUCAAAUGGAUUUUGUCAGCAAGGAGAUGAAAUGGGACCUUGUCUCGUCCACUCCAAGCAUCAACCUAGUACCUCCAAGGGAUGGCACAACAAUU
rnacentral:snRNA from 1 species